rnacentral:rRNA from 1 species
AUUGAACGCUGGCGGCAUGCCUUACACAUGCAAGUCGAACGGUAACAGGUCUUCGGAUGCUGACGAGUGGCGAACGGGUGAGUAAUACAUCGGAACGUGCCCGAUCGUGGGGGAUAACGAAGCGAAAGCUUUGCUAAUACCGCAUAAGAUCUACGGAUGAAAGCAGGGGACCGCAAGGCCUUGCGCGAACGGAGCGGCCGAUGGCAGAUUAGGUAGUUGGUGGGAUAAAAGCUUACCAAGCCGACGAUCUGUAGCUGGUCUGAGAGGACGACCAGCCACACUGGGACUGAGACACGGCCCAGACUCCUACGGGAGGCAGCAGUGGGGAAUUUUGGACAAUGGGCGAAAGCCUGAUCCAGCCAUGCCGCGUGCAGGAUGAAGGCCUUCGGGUUGUAAACUGCUUUUGUACGGAACGAAAAGACUCUUUCUAAUAAAGAGGGUCCAUGACGGUACCGUAAGAAUAAGCACCGGCUAACUACGUGCCAGCCGCCGCCGUAA